rnacentral:rRNA from 1 species
CACGCAGGCGGCCAGCUAAGUCAGAUGUGAAAUCCCACGGCUCAACCGUGGAACGGCAUUUGAAACUGGUUGGCUAGAGGACGGUUGGGGUGAGUGGAACUCCUGGUGGAGCGGUGAAAUGCGUAGAUAUCAGGAGGAACACCAGUGGCGAAAGCGGCUCACUGGACCGUAACUGACGCUCAGGUGCGAAAGCUAGGGUAGCGAACG